rnacentral:snRNA from 1 species
GUACUUACCUGUCAGGGGCGAUACCAUGAUCGCAGAGGUGGUUUUCCCAGGGCAAGGCUUAUCCAUCGCACUCCUGAUGUACUGACCCCUGUGAUUUCCCCAAAUGUGGGACACCUGGUGCGUAAUUUGUGGCGGUGGGGGGACUGCAUCCGUACUCUCCCCUG